rnacentral:lncRNA from 1 species
UUUGAGGGCACGGGCCCUGCUAUGGCACAGGCAGAUGGUACGAGAUGGAAUUUGAGAGCUUGGGUACUGCUAUGGCACAGGCAGAUGUUAAGAGCCUGAAUUUGAGGGCACGGGUCCUGCUAUGGCACAGGCAGAUGGUACAAGACUGAAUUUGAGGGCACGGGUCCUGCUAUGGCACAGGCAGAUGGUACGAGAUGGAAUUUGAGACCAUGGGUCCUGCUAUGGCACAGGCAGAUGGUACGAGAUGGAAUUUGAGGGCACGGGUCCCGCUAUGGCACAGGCAGAUGGUACGAGAUGGAAUUUGAGAUCAUGGGUCCUGCUAUGGCACAGGCAGAUGGUACAAGAUGGAAUUUGAGGGCAUGGGUCAUGCUAUGGCACAGGCAGAUGUUAAGAGACUGAAUUUGAGAGCACGGGUCCUGCUAUGGCACAGGCAGAUGGUACGAGAUGGAAUUUGAGGGCACGGGUCCUGCUAUGGCACAGGCAGAUGGUACGAGAUGGAAUUUGAGAUCAUGGGUCCUGCUAUGGCACAGGCAGAUGGUACGAGAUGGAAUUUGAGGGCACGGGUCCUGCUAUGGCACAGGCAGAUGGUACGAGAUGGAAUUGGAGGGCACGGGUCCUGCUAUGGCACAGGCAGAUGGUACGAGAUGGAAUUUGAGAUCACGGGUCCUGCUAUGGCACAGGCAGAUGGUACGAGAUGGAAUUUGAGGGCACGGGUCCUGCUAUGGCAUAGGCAGAUGGUACGAGAUGGAAUUUGAGAGCACGGGUCCUGCUAUGGCACAGGCACAUGGUACGAGAUGGAAUUUGAGGGCACGGGUCGUGCUAUGGCACAGGCAGAUGGUACGAGAUGGAAUUUGAGGGCACGGGUCCUGCUAUGGCACAGGCAGAUGGUAAGAGAUGGAAUUUGAGAGCACGGGUCCUGCUAUGGCACAGGCAGAUGGUAAGAGAUGGAAUUUGAGGGCACGGGUCCUGCUAUGGCACAGGCAGAUGGUAAGAGACGGAAUUUGAGGGCACGGGUCCUGCUAUGGCACAGGCACAUGGUACGAGAUAGAAUUUGAGGGCACGGGUCCUGCUAUGGCACAGGCAGAUGGCACGAGAUGGAAUUUGAGGGCACGGGUCCUGCUAUGGCACAGGCAGAUGGUACGAGCCUGAAUUUGAGAUCAUGGGUCCUGCUAUGGCACAGGCAGAUGGUACGAGAUGGAAUUUGAGAGCACGGGUCCUGC